rnacentral:rRNA from 1 species
UACAGAGGGUGCGAGCGUUAAUCGGAAUUACUGGGCGUAAAGGGUCCGUAGGCGGUUUUGUAAGUCAGUGGUGAAAGCCCAUCGCUCAACGGUGGAACGGCCAUUGAUACUGCAAGACUUGAAUUAUUGGGAAGCAACUAGAAUAUGUAGUGUAGCGGUGAAAUGCUUAGAUAUUACAUGGAAUACCAAUUGCGAAGGCAGGUUGCUACCAAUACAUUGACGCUGAUGGACGAAAGCGUGGGGAGCGAACAGG